CUCAGAUUAGAUGUGGUAACGACACUUUCUUCGUGAGUUCGUAAGGACGACAAAAUUACAAAACUUGGACUAAAAAUGUUCUCUCCAUUUCCAAUUGAAGACGCGCCGAGCGCAAUUAGAUCAUCAUCAGCGAAACGCACCAAGCUGCUGGUCCAUAUCUCGGCAUGGGCCACAAGGAUACUUGCCCUUUUAAGCAUCAUCUUCGCUGUCGUUUCCUUUACGAUGUUACAUGAUGUCUGGCUUGGAUCUGUUAUGUGUGUCACAGCAGCAUUCAGCAUUUUGAGUCCAUUAAACUUUAACGCUUGCUGUUAUUCGGAUUGUUCGGGAAAUACAACAUUUGUAAAG